ACCACGGGACACGUGAAACCCUGUGGGAAGCAGGAGGGACCACCCUCCAAGGCUAAAUACUACCUAGUGACCGAGAGCGUAUAGUACCGUGAGGGAAAGGGGAAAAGAACCCCGGGAGGGGAGGGAAAUAGAACCUGAAACCCUGCACUUACAAGCUGUGGAAGCACAUUGCUUGUGUGACCGCGUACUUUUUGUAGAACGGGCCAACGAGUUACGUUAAGUAGCAAGGUUAAGCACUUAAGGUGUGGAGCCGUAGCGAAAGCGAGUUUUAACUGAGCGUUCAGUUACUUGACGUAGACCCGAAACCGGGCGACCUACCCAUGAGCAGGAUGAAGCGAAAGUAAAAUUUCGUGGAGGUCCGAACCCACGAGCGUUGAAAAGCUCGGGGAUGACUUGUGGGUAGCGGUGAAAUUCCAAUCGAGCCCGGAGAUAGCUGGUUCUCCCCGAAAUAGCUUUAGGGCUAGCCUCAAGGUGAGAGAUACGGAGGUAGAGCACUGAAUGUCCUAGGGGGUAUUGCACCUACCGAAGACUAUCAAACUCCGAAU
rnacentral:rRNA from 1 species